CUACAUCAUUCUGGAUUGACUUGGAGUGUCUGCCUGCUGGUUGUUACACAAGUCUCCUGAACAUUGGAUAUGAUGAAUCCAGAAAAUUCACAUGAAUAAGACCAAAUAUGAAGAAACAUCUUCAAAACCCGAAUCUCAAAAACAUAGUUAUUUCAUUACAAGACAAGUAUAUUUAAUAAGAAGACUGACUGUGAAAGGAAUAGUUCCCACCACCACCUUGGAUCAAUAUGGAUAGAAGACCACUAACAAUUAAUUCUCUGUUGACCAAGACAAGAUAAUCUCACCCUCUGAUAUAAAACAUGGUUCAUUGGUUGGAUAAAAUAGGGCACAGAAGGCCAGAAAUAAAGGAUGAAUGGUAGAGCAUGUGCAUUACAUACAGAAGUACCAUACUCCAUCAAAAACAUGGUCAAAAGUCUGCCUGAGACACAAAAGCAGCUAACUAUAGUUAGUUGGGAGUUCUGUUACUAUAAACACAUACUAACCUGCCAAGUAGUCUGGGAGAAUGGGAACUGAACAUCAAAGAAUUGGGGGACAUUCUGUUACUGACUCCGCUGGCUAAAGUUGGAUUAAUACUAGGACUGUGUUUUCAAAGGACUGAUUUUUUUUCAAAGGAUGCUUUGAGCAAAGUGUUCAAAGUUGCUUUGUAAAGGAAUGUGGCUCCUUACUUUUAAGGAUAAAGCAAAGCUGCUGCCUCACUUCACUUUAGCCGCCAUCUUUGAUAUGUCCAGUAUCUGGAAGUGCUUUUGGAGAGAUUUUGGAAGGGUCAUAAAAAUUAGCAGUAGUGAAGCCAAACUUUGGUAGUUUGAUGAGGCAAAAAGUUUCACUUCUACACAGGGGACUUUGUGGUAAUAAAUUGUGACAGCCUUGCAUUGUAACUUUCAAUAUAAAGAAAGUAUUGAUUGUGUUUAAUAUAAUUUACCAACAGUACAAUGUUGAUUGAAAGGUUUACAGUUGAAGGACAGCAUAUAGAUUUGUGAAAUCUUCUGAUUUUUGCCCAGUAGGUCA